GCUUCUGCAGGAGCAACAAGGGCACAAAGGACUAAAUAUCCUUUCAUGUUUCAAUAUUUCAUCAGCAAGAGGAUUUGCCCUGAGAGAAUUGAUUGGUAACCUACAGAUCUAUUUGGUUAGAAGUGAUUCAAGGGAAGUGAGUGAAAAAGUC